UUGGUUAACCGGGAAGAACCCUUACCAGGUUUUGACAUUUCUUUUGCUAACCUAAGAGAUUAAGCGUUCCCUUCGGGGACGGAAUGACAGGUGGUGCAUGGUUGUCGUCAGCUCGUGUCGUGAGAUGUUGGGUUAAGUCCCGCAACGAGCGCAACCCUUAUUUUCAGUUGCCAGCAUUUAGUUGGGCACUCUGGCGAGACUGCCGGUGACAAACCGGAGGAAGGUGGGGAUGACGUCAAAUCAUCAUGCCCCUUAUGACCUGGGCUACACACGUGCUACAAUGGACGGUACAACGAGUCGGGAAACCGGGAGGUCAAGCUAAUCUUUUAAAGCCGUUCUCAGUUCGGAUUGUAGGCUGCAACUCGCCUACAUGAAGUUGGAAUCGCUAGUAAUCGUGGAUCAGC
rnacentral:rRNA from 1 species